rnacentral:rRNA from 1 species
CCUACGGGUGGCAGCAGUGAGGAAUAUUGGUCAAUGGGCGUAAGCCUGAACCAGCCAAGUCGCGUGAGGGAUGAAGGUUCUAUGGAUCGUAAACUUCUUUUAUAAGGGAAUAAAGUGUGGGACGUGUCCUAUUUUGUAUGUACCUUAUGAAUAAGGAUCGGCUAACUCCGUGCCAGCAGCCGCGGUAAUACGGAGGAUCCGAGCGUUAUGCGGAUUGAUGGGGUUGAAAGGGUGCGUAGGCGGCCUUUUAAGUCAGCGGUGAAAGCCUGUGGCUCAACCAUAGAAUUGCCGUUGAAACUGGGGGGCUUGAGUAUGUUUGAGGCGGGCGGAAUGCGUGGUGUAGCGGUGAAAUGCUUAGAUAUCACGCAGAACCCCGAUGGCGAAGGCAGCCUGCCAAGCCAUGACUGACGCUGAUGCACGAAAGCGUGGGGAUCAAACAGGAUUAGAUACCCGAGUAGUC